UCUUGCGCAAUGGGCGAAAGCCUGACGCAGCGACGCCGCGUGGGUGAAGAAGGCCUUCGGCCCUGUAAAGCCCUUUUAGCAGGGAAGAAUAAAAUGACGGUACCUGCAGAAAAAGCACCGGCUAACUCUGUGCCAGCAGCCGCGGUAAUACAGAGGGUGCAAGCGUUAUUCGGAAUUACUGGGCGUAAAGGGCGUGUAGGCGGUUUGCUAAGUCCGAUGUGAAAUCCCUGGGCUCAAACCAGGAAGUGCAUUGGAAACUAGCAGACUAGAGUACGGGAGAGGAGAGCGGAAUUCCUGGUGUAGAGGUGAAAUUCGUAGAUAUCAGGAGGAACAACAGAGGCGAAGGCGGCUCUUUGACCGUAACUGACGCUGAGGCGCGAAA
rnacentral:rRNA from 1 species